rnacentral:rRNA from 1 species
CCGGGUCUUGUACACACCGCCCGUCACACCACGAGAGUUUGUAACACCCGAAGCCGGUGGAGUAACCAUUUGGAGCUAGCCGUCGAAGGUGGGACAAAUGAUUGGGGUGAAGUCGUAACAAGGUAGCCGUAUCGGAAGGUGCGGCUGGAUCACCUCCUUUCUAAGGA